rfam:Eutrema salsugineum unplaced genomic scaffold scaffold_4, whole genome shotgun sequence.
AAUCCAUGGUGGGGGCAGUCACGUUCAUACUCUUUAAAACGUUCCCAAGCUUCAUAGAAAGGUUUGACCAGUCUUUGCUGGAAACUUGAGAUCUUGUUUCUCAGUAC